rnacentral:rRNA from 1 species
UGCAGUCGAACGGCAGCACGGGUGCUUGCACCUGGUGGCGAGUGCCUUUAAAGUGAGUAAUAUAUCGGAACGUACCUUAUUGUCUGGGAUAACGCAGCGAAAGCUGUGCUAAUACCGCAUAAUCCCUUAGGGGGAAAGCGGGGGACCGUAAGGCCUCGCGCAAUUAGAGCGGCCGAUACCUGAUUAGCUAGUUGGUGAGGUAAAGGCUCACCAAGCCAACGAUCUGUAGCUGGUCUGAGAGGACGACCAGCCACACUGGAACUGAGACACGGUCCAGACUCCUACGGGAGGCAGCAGUGGGGAAUUUUGGACAAUGGACGCAAGUCUGAUCCAGCCAUUCCGCGUGCAGGACGAAGGCCUUCGGGUUGUAAACUGCUUUUGUACAGAACGAAAAGGUCUCUAUUAAUACUGGGGGCUCAUGACGGUACUGUAAGAAUAAGCACCGGCUAACUACGUGCCAGCAGCCGCGGUAAUACGUAGGGUGCAAGCGUUAAUCGGAAUUACUGGGCGUAAAGCGUGCGCAGGCGGUUAUAUAAGACAGAUGUGAAAUCCCCGGGCUCAACCUGGGAACUGCAUUUGUGACUGUAUAGCUGGAGUGCGGCAGAGGGGGAUGGAAUUCCGCGUGUAGCAGUGAAAUGCGUAGAUAUGCGGAGGAACACCGAUGGCGAAGGCAAUCCCCUGGGCCUGCACUGACGCUCAUGCACGAAAGCGUGGGGAGCAAACAGGAUUAGAUACCCUGGUAGUCCACGCCCUAAACGAUGUCAACUGGUUGUUGGGUCUUCACUGACUCAGUAACGAAGCUAACGCGUGAAGUUGACCGCCUGGGGAGUACGGC